rnacentral:rRNA from 1 species
CCUACGGGUGGCUGCAGUGAGGAAUAUUGGUCAAUGGUCGCGAGCCUGAACCAGCCAAGUCGCGUGAGGGAGGACGGUCCUAUGUAUUGUAAACCUCUUUUGUCGGGGAACAAAGGCCGCGACGCGUGGCGUUCCGAGAGUACCCGAAGAAAAAGCAUCGGCUAACUCCGUGCCAGCAGCCGCGGUAAUACGGAGGAUGCGAGCGUUAUCCGGAUUUAUUGGGUUUAAAGGGUGCGCAGGCGGAAGAUCAAGUCAGCGGUAAAAGUGAGAGGCUCAACCUCUUCGAGCCGUUGAAACUGGUUGUCUUGAGUGAGCGAGAAGUAUGCGGAAUGCGUGGUGUAGCGGUGAAAUGCAGAGAUAUCACGCAGAACUCCGAUUGCGAAGGCAGCAUACCGGCGCUCAACUGACGCUCAUGCACGAAAGUGUGGGUAUCGAACAGGAUUAGAUACCCUAGUAGUC